rnacentral:tRNA from 2 species
GGUGAAGUAGCUCAGUCCGGCAGAGCACAGGGGAACGUCGAGAGGCGCCCUGGUCGCUGGUUCGACUCCAGCCUUCACCC